CCGCGGUAUCCUGACCGUGCAAAGGUAGCAUAAUCACUUGCCUAUUAAUUGUAGGCUAGAAUGAAGGGACAAACGAGAAUACACCUGUCUCCUUUAAGCCCUUAAAAAUUUAUCUUUAAGUGAAGAAGCUUAAAUUCAUAUGCAGGACAAGAAGACCCUAUAGAGCUUUACCUAAAAUCUACAUAAAUAGUAGCUAGCGGUUCGGUUGGGGCGACCGGGGGACAUUCAUCACCCCCAAACUAAAAGAUAUACCUAUCCCACCAAAGAUCCUUACUCAAGAUCAAAGAAUCAAGCUACCUUAGGGAUAACAGGCUAAUCCUCUUAGAGAGCCCUUAUCGACAAGAGGGGUUGGCACCUCGAUGUUGGCUU
rnacentral:rRNA from 1 species